UACGGAGGAUGCGAGCGUUAUCCGGAUUUAUUGGGUUUAAAGGGUGCGUAGGCGGGAUGCCAAGUCAGCGGUAAAAAUGCGGUGCUCAACGCCGUCGAGCCGUUUGAACUGGCGCGCUUGAGUUCAGGCGAGGUAGGCGGAAUUCGUGGUGUAGCGGUGAAAUGCUUAGAUAUCACGAAGAACUCCGAUUGCGAAGGCAGCCUGCUGGACUGUAACUGACGCUGAGGCACGAAAGCGUGGGUAUCGAACAGG
rnacentral:rRNA from 1 species